rnacentral:lncRNA from 1 species
GGAGGUUCACAUGACGACAAUCACUAUAUCAACAUUCAUCAAAAGUCUUACUAAAUCUGAAACUGCACUACCUCUCACACACUAUUUGCACAGAAUCGCAUGCCAUUUUCACAAAAUCGAUGCACCACUGCAUCGCACGCUGCAUCACCAAGCCCGUAUGCCCCACACAGUUGCUCUUUCGCGCUGCACCACGCGAUCCGUAUGCGUCGCAGCGAGCGUGCGCACCACUGAACUCGUCCGCGCAGCACAAUUGCUCUUCUAUGAGCGCCUCCACCAUGGGCCUCCUCUGUUGGGUCACUACAAAAAAAAUCACUUUUAGCGAC